CGUGCACUUCUCCCCUAGUAGGACGUCGCGACCCGUUGGGUGUCGGCCUACGGCCCGGUUGGUCGACUGUCGCGUGCCGCCGUUCACGCGUGCGCACGCGGUAGACCACCGGUCGCCCGGCCGGCUGCCCGGCGGUAUAGAACGAAUAGAAACGGUAUUGGGCCGCCCACUCUUGUGUGCGUCCUGGCUCGUCGGCAGGCUCGCCUCGCUCGGAUUUACGGACCUAGUGCCGUUGCCGAGUGCUUGGUGUGGCCGUUAGUCGACGAUGUCCUCGGACCGGCUCUUACCGGUCGGCGACGCUACUGCUUUGGGUACUUUCAGGACCCGUCUUGAAACACGGACCAAGGAGUCUAACAUGUGCGCGAGUCAUUGGGAUUUAUCAAAGCCUAGAGGCGCAAUGAAAGUGAAGGUCGACCCUAGCGUCGACCGAGGGAGGAUGGCUCGCGUCACGAUGCGAGCCCGCACUCCCGGGGCGUCUCGUGCUCAUCGCGAGCAGAGGCGCACCCAGAGCGUACACGUUGGGACCCGAAAGAUGGUGAACUAUGCCUGGUCAGGACGAAGUCAGGGGAAACCCUGAUGGAGGUCCGUAGCGAUUCUGACGUGCAAAUCGAUCGUCGGAACUGGGUAUAGGGGCGAAAGACUAAUCGAACCAUCUAGUAGCUGGUUCCCUCCGAAG
rnacentral:rRNA from 1 species